GACGAACGCUGGCGGCGUGCUUAACACAUGCAAGUCGAGCGGAAAGGCCCUUCGGGGUACUCGAGCGGCGAACGGGUGAGUAACACGUGAGUAACCUGCCCCUGACUCUGGGAUAAGCCUGGGAAACUGGGUCUAAUACCGGAUCCGACACCUCCCUGCAUGGGGUGGGUGUGGAAAGUUUUUUCGGUUGGGGAUGGGCUCGCGGCCUAUCAGCUUGUUGGUGGGGUAGUGGCCUACCAAGGCGACGACGGGUAGCCGGCCUGGGAGGGCGACCGGCCACACUGGGACUGAGACACGGCCCAGACUCCUACGGGAGGCAGCAGUGGGGAAUAUUGCGCAAUGGGCGGAAGCCUGACGCAGCGACGCCGCGUGGGGGAUGACGGCCUUCGGGUUGUAAACCUAUUUCAGCAGGGACGAAGUUGACGUGUACCUGUAGAAGAAGCGCCGGCUAACUACGUGCCAGCAGCCGCGGUAA
rnacentral:rRNA from 1 species